rnacentral:rRNA from 1 species
AGUGAACGCUGGCGGUAGGCCUAACACAUGCAAGUCGAACGGCAGCACAGUAAGAGCUUGCUCUUACGGGUGGCGAGUGGCGGACGGGUGAGGAAUACAUCGGAAUCUACUUUUUCGUGGGGGAUAACGUAGGGCAACUUCCGCUAAUACCGCAUACGACCUACGGGUGAAUGCAGGGGAUCUUCGGACCUUGCGCGAUUCAAUUAGCCGAGGUCGGAUUAGUUGGUGGGCGGGGUAAAGGCCCACCAAGGCGAGGCACCGUAGCGGAUCUGAAGGGAUGGCCAGCCACACUGAACCUGAGACCCGGGCCAGACCCUAAGGGGAGGCAGCAUUGGGGAAUAUUGGAAAAGGGGCGCAAGCCUGAUCCAGCCAUACGGGGUGGGUGAAGAAGGCCUUCGGGUGGUAAAGCCCUUUUGUUGGGAAAGAAAAGCAGCAGGUUAACACCCCGCUGUUCGGACGGUACCCAAAGAAUAAGCACCGCCGAACUGCGU